rnacentral:rRNA from 1 species
UGGGGGAUAUUGCACAAUGGGCGAAAGCCUGAUGCAGCGACGCCGCGUGGGGGAUGAAGGCUUUCGGGUUGUAAACCUCUUUCGCUAUCGAACAAGGCCCGCUUAGGGUGGGUUGAGGGUAGGUGGAGAAGAAGCGCCGGCUAACUACGUGCCAGCAGCCGCGGUAAUACGUAGGGCGCGAGCGUUGUCCGGAAUUAUUGGGCGUAAAGGGCUUGUAGGCGGCUUGUUGCGCCUGCUGUGAAAACGCGGGGCUUAACUUCGCGCGUGCAGUGGGUGAGGGCAGGCUUGAGUGUGGUAGGGGUGACUGGAAUUCCAGGUGUAGCGGUGGAAUGCGCAGAUAUCUGGAGGAACACCGAUGGCGAAGGCAGGGCACUGGGCCAUUACUGACGCUGAGGAGCGAAAGCAUGGGUAGCGAACAGG